GGGCGGCUGGGACCGGCCUGGGGUAGCUGCGCAGCAGGUGAGUAGGUCCCGGGGAUGCAGCGCGGGGGUCAGAGAGCGACCCCAACAGGGUAGACGGUGAGGACGCCUCAGUGGGCAGCGUUAGGGAAAGGGGCCAGGGUGUUCCCGGGGUUGGGGUGCGAGCCCCCGCUGUGCGUCCAGGAGGCCGAGGGUCUGGCAUCCCUUCGCGUGGAGUGCGGGGCAGGGGCCGGGUCCCCCCGGAGGUGGCUGAGAUCCAGAUCGGUGAGGGGCCCUGCAGGCAGGUCUGUGGGUUCUGGCACCACCUGAGCCCACUGGGCAUCUGGUCAUCCCUGGCACCUCUCCUUUGGAGCCACCUUGUCCCUGGCUAGACAGUCACAUUUUCCAGUGCCGUUCUGGAAAGAUGCUGCCUUUGGAGAAGGCGUUUGCCUCCCCCAGGAGCUCCCCAGCCCCGCCGGAUCUGCCCACGCCGGGGUCAGCAGCCGGAGUCCAGCAGGAAGAACCCGAGACCAUCCCUGAGAGGACCCCUGCUGACCUGGAGUUCUCCCGCCUGCGUUUCCGGGAAUUUGUCUACCAGGAGGCUGCCGGGCCCCACCAGACCCUGGCCCGGCUGCAUGAGCUGUGCCGCCAGUGGCUGAUGCCUGAGGCGCGCUCCAAGGAGCAGAUGCUGGAGCUGCUGGUGCUGGAGCAGUUCCUGGGCAUCCUGCCUGAUAAGGUCCGGCCCUGGGUGGUGGCACAGUACCCUGAGAGCUGCAAGAAGGCAGCCUCCCUGGUGGAGGGCCUCGCUGAUGUCUUGGAAGAGCCAGGGAUGCUGCUGGGCUCCCCUGCGGGCUCAUCCUCAAUUCUUAGUGAUGGAGUGUACGAGAGGCACAUGGACCCUCUGCUGCUACCAGGCGAGCUCGCGAGCCCCAGCCAGGCCCCUGGAGCUGGGGAGAUCCCGGCACCUUCUGAGACACGUGAGUGCCCAGCUAGCCUGGCAGCCUCUGCUGGGCCUUAGGUGGGGUGGUGGGCAGAGGCCUGUGGUUGGGAGAGGGCAGAAGGGCAGCCAGGGAGUCAGGGGCUCCAUGGUCCAUGCUAUCAUUGGGACUUCCUCCUGUAGUUCCCCUGAAUGUUAGACAUUGUUUAUUAAAUUAGUCUUCAGAGAUUAUGCAGAUCAUCCAUACUUACCACAAAUAGUGAAGAAACAUCAAUACAUAAAGAAAAGAAUCUCCCAACCCCCCACCAUGAACCCUCUGAAAAUAAAGGGUCUCGAGUGUCCUGAUGCACAUCCCCUCAUGUCUCCCUGCACAUCACACAUGCAUAAUCAGGGGCUGGGGUCGGGCUCUGUGUGUGUGGUGUGCUGUGUCUGAGUGCUUGCUGUUCGAGGGGUGGGUCCCCCAGGCUGUGGUUGGGUCUGGUUCUUUAGUUGCCCAGCAUCGCGUGCUCAGCCCAUCCCCAUCCUAGAGGUGGGCUCUCUACCCCUUGGAGUGAAGCUUCCGUGACACCUCCUGACUUGUGUGCCCAUAUGUGAGGCUCUGGGCACUGUGGGUGGACUCCUCAGGACCACUGGGCAAGUGGUGUGUGAGUUCGACAUUUCACAUAAAAUAGAAACUUCCAUGUGGUUUUCCAGAAGUUUUGUGGCUGUUCAUUACCAGCACGGAAGGUGCCCACUGGCCUGGAGACAGCCCAGCAGUAUGUGGUGUUGCUUUUUAGGAUUUCCACGAAGGCCAGACACAGUGCCUCAUGCCUGUAAUCGCAGCACUUUGGGAAGCCAAGGCGGGCAGAUCACUUGAGCCCGGGCAUUCGAGACCAGCCUGGGCAACAUAGGGAGACCCCAUCUCUACAAAAAAUACAAAAAUUAGCUGGGUGCGCACUUUUAGUCCCAGCUACUUGGGAGGCUGAGGUGGGAGGAUUGCUUGAGUCCAGGAGGUGGAGGUUGCAGUGAGCCAAGAUCAUGCCACUGCACUCCAGCCUGGGUGACAGAGCAAGACCCUGUCUUUAAAAAACAAACAAACCAAAAAAAAAAAAAA
rnacentral:sRNA from 1 species